rnacentral:rRNA from 1 species
AUGAACGCUGGCGGCGUGCCUAAUCCAUGCAAGUCGAGCGAACAGACGAGGAGUUUGCUCCUCUGACGUUAGCGGCGGACGGGUGAGUAACACGUGGAUAACCUACCUAUAAGACUGGGAUAACUUCGGGAAACCGGAGCUAAUACCGGAUAAUAUAUUGAACCGCAUGGUUCAAUAGUGAAAGACGGUUUUGCUGUCACUUAUAGAUGGAUCCGCGCCGCAUUAGCUAGUUGGUAAGGUAACGGCUUACCAAGGCAACGAUGCGUAGCCGACCUGAGAGGGUGAUCGGCCACACUGGAACUGAGACACGGUCCAGACUCCUACGGGAGGCAGCAGUAGGGAAUCUUCCGCAAUGGGCGAAAGCCUGACGGAGCAACGCCGCGUGAGUGAUGAAGGUCUUCGGAUCGUAAAACUCUGUUAUUAGGGAAGAACAAAUGUGUAAGUAACUAUGCACGUCUUGACGGUACCUAAUCAGAAAGCCACGGCUAACUACGUG